UACAGAGGUCCCAAGCGUUGUUCGGAUUCACUGGGCGUAAAGGGUGCGUAGGUGGUGGACUAAGUCGGGUGUGAAAUCUCCGGGCUCAACCCGGAGGGUGCGCCCGAAACUGGUCUGCUAGAGGAUAGGAGGGGAGACUGGAAUUCUCGGUGUAGCAGUGAAAUGCGUAGAUAUCGAGAGGAACACCCGUGGCGAAGGCGAGUCUCUGGACUAUUCCUGACACUGAGGCACGAAAGCCGGGGGAGCAAACAGG
rnacentral:rRNA from 1 species